GGCUGGCAGUUCGCACCUUCCCGUGAAGUGACUGUGAAUCAUCCAAGAGGCGGAGGUGGAAGGGGGCAUUCGCAUUGACGGGACGCAGGAGCAGGACAGGUCCAGGGGGGAGCCCGACCAGUUGCCCAAUACAGUGCAAAUACCCCACGUCACAACUCCUCUGCAUCAGACUUUAUGAAGUUACAGACCAUGGGAGGCCCACCUGAAGAGCUACGGACCUGUCUGCUGGACGACACAAGGAGACAGUCCAGCAGGACCAACAGCACCAGAGUGGAGGCCUCCAUAGUGCCUGUGUAGCCACAAGGAAGUGGCCUGAACAUUGAGACAAAGGAGGGUCUCAGAGACGGGAGAGACGUGGGGACAGGCACUUCAAAGGACAGCCCGUGAUGCAAAUGAGAGGCAGAAAGCAGAGAGAGAGGUGGAGGCGUGUCCAGGCGGAUGGAGAGAAAAGCAGUGUCCAGGCGGAUGUAAAGUAUCGCACUAGACACAGCAUUCACACAUAUUACAAGAGAAAGAUCUAAUGUGUAACUAGGACUGUGUAUAAAUUGUGUGAUAAUUUCUUACAUCUGAAAGGUUUGAAAGUCAUCAGGAAAAGUGGUUUGAAGAAACAUAGACAAGUAGAAAAGUUGAAGGUUAAAGAAAUGUGUUAGACAGAGUUCAAAUGUACGACAGCGGUAGAAUUCAUGAAGGCACAAAACGUUAAAAUUGAACCCCAAAAAGCAUAACCAUGAUGUAUGCUACAAUGUUUUUUCAGAAUUAAAGUAGAAGGUUUUUGGUGCGCUCGCAACAGCAAGCCAUGCUUACAGGCCUGGGCUUUCCCUUAUAAUGGUAAAUUGACACAUGGGAAAGUUCAUGCGUCAAGAGGGGGGAUGGGGAGCCCACAACAACAACCUUGGGUAUACCAAAGCAAACCAAAGGAAAUAAUUACUCAAAAAAAAAAAAUAAACAAACCCCAUGUAGGUCCCUCAGAGACAUCAUGAAGGACAAUGGGAAAGAGAAGAGGAAUA